CAGAUUGCCCAGAGAAGUUGUGGAGUCUUCCUCACUGGAGAUAUUCAAGAACCAUCCUGAUGGAAUUCUGUGCAACAUGCUUGAGGACGACUCUACUUGAAUAGGGAGGUUGGACUAAGUGACCCACUGUGGUCCCUUCCAACUUUAGCCAUUCUGGAUUCUGUGACACUAAGAGCCCAUUCUCUAGCUGUAUAAAGGUAUUUAAAGAAGCAUGAAAUAACCAGGACUUCCAUUAUAGGUGCUUUAAAGCCACUUGAAAAUGAGGAAAGACAAUCAAUACACAGGUUAACUCAGUUCAAAAAUUCUUUCAAUUAACCCUUUGUAUAUUUACUGCCAAGGGAUCUCACCAAAACUUUCAGAACUGUGUUCUUACCUUUUGCUAUUAUCCUACUCUGCAGUAAUGUGGAAUCCUAAAGAUUCCUGAAGGGAUAUUCUGGGAUUACAAUACUUACAGUUUUCUAAAUUUACCCAAAUUUUGAGAUUCCUUUGUCUGAAACUAUUGCUGGAUAUUUCAGAGGGAGUUCCAAAACAAAAGGAGGAGGAUGUCCAUGAACAACACCAGAAUGGGAUAUAAAGCUACAACUGCAAACCACAAUUUGGUACUUGAGAAAGGAAUGAGUGAAAUAUAAUACAGCAGACUAAAGCAGUGAGGAAUGUGUUUCUGGACGUAAAUCUGUGAUGCACCGAUGCUUUUCCCGAACAAACACACAAAAGCACGUCAGCAGUUAUUUUUCAUUUCCUCAAUCUGUGAUGAGAUAAAUCCUCCUCUGUGAGCCUGUGGAGUAACACAUUGGAAAUGGAUUUACUCGUAACUUGAGUUCAACAACUCCUGCUAAACCAGUAAGAAAACCAGAAUAACGCUUCUGAAAUUAAUCCAAAUUAUUCAGAACUAUGUUAUUUUUUAAAAUUUCCUUUUACCUAUAUGUGGGGAGAAAUAAAAAAGAAAGCUAUAACAUCAAGGGGAGAUGACUCUGGAAAAACAAGGCUGCAGCAAACUUACCUUUCAUUAGGGACUCCCCAAGUUUAAUGGGCUAUCUUAUAAAGAAAAUAAUAAUAAAAAUAAUUUCAAAAUCAAUUAGCUUUUCCUCUCUUUAUUGAUUUUUUUAAAGUAUGCAUCUGGAGAUUUUCCACUUCCAGUAUCAGGGCUUAAAAACAAAGCUAGGUAAUACAAGGGACAGUCUGAAUGAGACAUCAGACAGGGACUACUAAUCCAGGGCUAUUUGUUGCUCAAAACCUAACAAAACCAGCUCAUUUUUUCUACACAGAAAGUCUUAGUUGCAUGGGAGGACACUGUAAACAGAGGAGGGGGAGCCUGAAAGAGAUUUUAACAGUGUAAUGGUACAACAAAAUUAGAUUCUUUUCCUGGCUUUGUGGAGCUUAUUCAAACUGAAUGACUCGGAGGACCUGGUCCUGUUCUGACUGAAGCCAGUGAGAGAUUUGCUACACAUUUCAGAGAGAACAAAAACAGCCCUUCAGUCGUAGCACCUCCGCCAGAUUUUGUUUCACACCCUGCCAAAAUGUCAUAGCUUGAAUCACUUCAGCAGCCAGAGCCAUUUAAAAGUGGACUGAACAAAACCCUGGAGAAUAAACUGCCGAGAGAAAUCUUCCUCUGUUCUUUCCCUUAUCUCUGCUCUUCUGCCUCACUGGGUUACAUGAAUAGCAACCAAAAACUGCAGAGCACUGACAGACAUGGGGUCUCCAGGCAUUUCAGAUGUUUCACAAGCAAGCCAUGAAAAUAUGAAACCACUACCCUUCAUUUCUACCUGUUUGCAUUGUAUCCAAGGGGGACUAAGUGGAUAAUAACAAAAAGAUUAUAGAGUAGCUGACUUCAAAUGUUUUGGAAAAACUAUGUUAAAUUUGAGAGAUUUCAUAGCAGCUUCAAACAUCAGUGCAGUUAAAUUCUGUCAAAGUGCAAAGUAAAGGUCUUCAGCAACAUUAUUUGAACUAACCUGGAGCAGACAAAAUACCAUAAAAACAGCAAGAUAAUUCAAAUUAUUAACUCAUCAAAAAGUGGGAGAGAUGAAGCACCCAUUUUGCA